UCAAGCGUGAGGUUGAACGGACG
rnacentral:misc_RNA from 1 species